CAGCCGUAAACUAUGCGCGUUAGGUGUACUGGUGACCACGAGUCACCGGGGUGCCGAAGGGAAACCGUGAAACGUGCCGCCUGGGAAGUACGGUCGCAAGGCUGAAACUUAAAGAAAUUGGCGGGGGAGCACCACAACGGGUGGAGCCUGCGGUUUAAUUGGACUCAACGCCGGAAAUCUCACCGGAUAGGACAGACAUAUGAUAGUCGGGCCGAAGACUCUACUUGAUGAUCUGAGAGGUGGUGCAUGGCGUCAGUGACU
rnacentral:rRNA from 1 species